GGCCCUCUGGCGCAACGGUAGCGCGUUCGACUCCAGAUCGAAAGGUUAUCCGUUCAAAUCGGGUGGGGGUCA
rfam:Colletotrichum orchidophilum strain IMI 309357 Scaffold_62.1, whole genome shotgun sequence.